rnacentral:rRNA from 1 species
UACAGAGGAGCCAAGCGUUGUCCGGAUUGACUGGGCGUAAAGCGCACGCAGGCGGACGCGCGCGUGGGGGGUGAAAUCUGGCCGCUUAACGGCCAGGCGCCAUCCCAUACGGCGCGUCUGGAGUGAUGCAGAGGUCGUUGGAAUUGCCGGUGUAGUGGUGAAAUGCGUAGAGAUCGGCAGGAACACCCAGGGGGAAACCAGUCGACUGGGCAUCUACUGACGCUGAGGUGCGAGAGCGUGGGGAGCGAACCGG